rnacentral:rRNA from 1 species
UACGUAGGGUGCAAGCGUUAAUCGGAAUUACUGGGCGUAAAGCGUGCGCAGGCGGUUCGUUAAGUCAGAUGUGAAAGCCCCGGGCUCAACCUGGGAACUGCAUUUGAAACUGGCGGGCUUGAGUAUGGCAGAGGGGGGGUGAAUUCCGCGUGUAGCAGUGAAAUUCGUAGAUAUUCGCAAGAACACCAGUGGCGAAGGCGGCUCACUGGCCCGGUACUGACGCUGAGGUGCGAAAGCGUGGGAGCAAACAGG